CUACGUGCCAGCAGCCGCGGUAAUACGGAAGGUCCAGGCGUUAUCCGGAUUUAUUGGGUUUAAAGGGAGCGUAGGCUGGAGAUUAAGUGUGUUGUGAAAUGUAGACGCUCAACGUCUGACUUGCAGCGCAUACUGGUUUCCUUGAGUACGCACAACGUUGGCGGAAUUCGUCGUGUAGCGGUGAAAUGCUUAGAUAUGACGAAGAACUCCGAUUGCGAAGGCAGCUGACGGGAGCGCAACUGACGCUGAAGCUCGAAGGUGCGGGUAUCGAACAGGAUUAGAUACCCUGGUAGUCCGCACAGUAAACGAUGGAUGCCCGUUGUUAGUUCACUUUAGAAUUAGCGACCAAGCGAAAGCAUUAAGCAUCCCACCUGGGGAGUACGCCGGCAACGGUGAAACUCAAAGGAAUUGACGGGGGCCCGCACAAGCGGAGGAACAUGUGGUUUAAUUCGAUGAUACGCGAGGAACCUUACCCGGGCUUGAA
rnacentral:rRNA from 1 species